rnacentral:rRNA from 1 species
GAUGAACGCUGGCGGCGUGCCUAAUACAUGCAAGUCGAGCGAACAGACGAGGAGCUUGCUCCUCUGACGUUAGCGGCGGACGGGUGAGUAACACGUGGAUAACCUACCUAUAAGACUGGGAUAACUUCGGGAAACCGGAGCUAAUACCGGAUAACAUGUUGAACCGCAUGGUUCAACAGUGAAAGACGGUCUUGCUGUCACUUAUAGAUGGAUCCGCGCCGCAUUAGCUAGUUGGUAAGGUAACGGCUUACCAAGGCAACGAUGCGUAGCCGACCUGAGCGGGUGAUCGGCCACACGGGAACGGAGACACGGUCCAGACUCCUACGGGAGGCAGCAGUAGGGAAUCUUCCGCAAUGGGCGAAAGCCUGACGGAGCAACGCCGCGUGAGUGAAGAAGGUCUUCGGAUCGUAAAACUCUGUUAUUAGGGAAGAACAAAUGUGUAAGUAACUAUGCACGUCUUGACGGUACCUAAUCAGAAAGCCACGGCUAACUACGUG